UGGUAAUGCCGGAUGCUCCAGUUGACCGCAUGGUCCUCUGGGAAAGCUUUUGCGGUAUGGGAUGGGGUCGCGUCCUAUCAGCUUGAUGGCGGGGUAACGGCCCACCAUGGCUUCGACGGGUAGCCGGCCUGAGAGGGCGACCGGCCACAUUGGGACUGAGAUACGGCCCAGACUCCUACGGGAGGCAGCAGUGGGGAAUAUUGCACAAUGGGCGCAAGCCUGAUGCAGCGACGCCGCGUGCGGGAUGACGGCCUUCGGGUUGUAAACCGCUUUUGACUGGGAGCAAGCCCUUCGGGGUGAGUGUACCUUUCGAAUAAGCACCGGCUAACUACGUGCCAGCAGCCGCGGUAAUACGUAGGGUGCAAGCGUUAUCCGGAAUUAUUGGGCGUAAAGGGCUCGUAGGCGGUUCGUCGCGUCCGGUGUGAAAGUCCAUCGCUUAACGGUGGAUCCGCGCCGGGUACGGGCGGGCUUGAGUGCGGUAGGGGAGACUGGAAUUCCCGGUG
rnacentral:rRNA from 1 species